AGGCAGUGGCUAGUGAGGGUGGCACUGAAGAUGCAAAAAGAAGGGGUGAUGUGUUUGCUAGUGCAUUUUCAGCACAUUUGGCAAGAUUGAUGGAGGAGCCUGCUGCAUAUGGUAAGCUAGGACUGGCUGACCUUUUGGAACUACGAGAAGAGUACUUGAGAGAGUUUCAUUUCUUUGAUGCCUACAG